rnacentral:lncRNA from 1 species
GCCAGAUAAGGCAAUAAAAGCUGGCCACUCUAGCCAGCAACGGCAGCUGGCUGCUUUCUGUUGGCAUGCAGUGUGGUGUUUGUUCUUUUGCUCUUUGCAAUAAAUCUUGUUGCUGCUCACUGUUUGGGUCUGCACUGCCUUUAUGAGCUGUAACACUUAUUGUGAAGGUCUGCAGGUUGACUCCUGAGGCCAGGGAGACCACGAACCCACCGGUAGGAAGAAACUCUGGACACAUCCGAACAUCAGAAGGAGCAAACUCCAGACACACCAUCUUUAAGAACUGCAACACUCACCGGAGGGUCCGCGGCUUCAUUGUUGAAGUCAGCGAGACCAAGAACCCACCAAUUCCAGAUGCAGUCUCACCUGUAUAUGGAAUUUAAUAAAGCCAGACUCAUGGAAGCAGAGAGUAGAGCAGAGGUUGCCAGAAGCUUGGAUUGGAGGAGAGAUUUGUGAUCUUACUUAGAUGAUGUGUGAGACAGUAAAUGAAAUGAGGAGCAUUCACUUAAAUGUUGCUGAGCAUUUCUGUCUUCUGGGCUCCAGUAUCUGAGAGUUGAUUAUGAGUUUCUUCUAAUAUCAUAAGAAUGAAGGCAUACAAACAUCUUGAAGUACAAUAUGAAAUUUGAGAGAGGCCAAUGCUCUAUUACAAGUGAAACAGAUAAUUGGGAAGAUGGGAUCCUGAUUGAAGCACUACACCAAAUAAUUUUUAAGCCAUCAGAGAGUGCAUAUAACAUGGUAAAGAAGAAAGAGGUGAAGGAGGAGCAGGGGAAAGUGGGGUGAGGAAGAGGAGAAUGAAAGGUAGAGCACUGUGCCAUUUUUAUUAUUUUUAUUCAGCCAGAGCGGCAAUUAUUUUUAUUUUUUCAAAAUAACAAACAUAGAGCCAACUUUUAAAAAUAAGU